CGCAUAUAUUCCUUUUUAUUCUUUCAGAAGCGAGUGUGCAAGCCCUUAGAAGCUGUUCCAAAUGAGGUCGAUGCUCGCCUCAUUGACUGUGCUAUGGAGCUGGAUUCUAAACAGAAAGUCUCCUCUGGCUGUGGUCCUUGGGCUACAAAGACAAAGCAAAGCUCUAUGAUUUUUGAAAACCAAGGAAGCAGAGGUACUGCCCAGCCUUGCCCGAGAUGUAUUGCUGGAGAAUCUGGACACUUCAGUCACAUCCUGGGCUGCUAGAGAUGGACAGACUGCAGAUAAGCAAUGCUGCUUCCCCUGUUGGAGUCUGGAAAUGCACCUGUGGGCAGCGUACAGCUGGAGUACGUUCACUCGUGGCAAACAUUCAGCAUGCUGCUCUAUGUGUUACUCCUCCAUCACACAGUUGGAUGCCACUGUUUUUACACUUGAAAAAAUGCUUUUGUACUUAAGGUAUCUCAUAUGUAUGAAAGAAUAUGUUUUUGAUUUAACUUUUUGGAGCAGUUAAGCUGAUUUGGCCUUUGGCCCAUUCUUCACCUGGCACUGGACCAAAGGCCAUACUGAUAAAAGUAUUUCACUGUCUCACUCAGGCACUUUCUCUGAUGCUCAUGAAGGUUGUCCUUGUGUUCACAUUGGUACUGGGCCUGCGCUUUUGGCUCAAUUGUAUAUAAACAGGCAGAAAUGGGAGGACUCUUCAGCUCUAGAUAGAGAGCUGAUCAGCUUGACAGCUAUGCAAAGGCCAGUGAAAACCCUACUGAAACUUAUUUUGUUGUAAAAUCCAGAAUAUGCAUCCAUUUCAGGUAUCUUUCCUACAUGUCAAACUCUAACUUGAUUUACAAUAAGCACAGUUUGUGAAUGUGACAGAUAACUAUCUGAAAGAAAAAAAUCAGUGUUAUUUGAACAACAUUAUGAUGCAAAGGUGAGCGGUGCUUCAGAUCUACGCAGUCUCUCAAAUUGCUGAAGAUACCAUCUGAUGCUCUGGGAUUCCUUUCUUUCCAACUGUUGUGAUACUAGAACAGGUCUGUUUCAGCUUGUUACCCAACUUGAUCUUAUUGGCUUGCCACAGAUAAUUUAAUCAACAUUUGGGCAGUCUGCAAUCCUAUGUAAUUUUUAAACACCUGCAGGUUUUAAACUUUUAAGGCAUCCAAGUUGUGUUAUUUGGAUGUGACACUUCAGUGGCUGCUCUGGAAUGGAGCUGGCUGCUGUCCAGAACAGAAUAGCAGUAUGCUUACCUUAUGCAUUGGAUAGAAAUUGCUGUGACCUGCCAAAGCUCAGGAAGAAAGCAAUCUCCACUGACAGGAGAAGUGUCCCCUGUUCCCAUGGAGCCUUUGGGCAGGGUUCAGCCCACCAGCAGCAAGGCAGGCAGAACAGCUUCCAGCCUCUCCUGCUCUGAGGGCAGGUCUCAGUGUAGAUUAAAAUGGUAGAUCUGGAGCUGCAAAAGUCUAGUAACAA
rnacentral:lncRNA from 1 species